rnacentral:rRNA from 1 species
UCCUUACGGGGGGGGUGCAGUAGGGAAUCUUCCGCAAUGGACGCAAGUCUGACGGAGCAACGCCGCGUGAGUGACGAAGGUUUUCGGAUCGUAAAACUCUGUUGUGAGGGAAGAACACGUACCAACUAACUAUUGGUACCUUGACGGUACCUCACCAGAAAGCCACGGCUAACUACGUGCCAGCAGCCGCGGUAAUACGUAGGUGGCAAGCGUUGUCCGGAAUUAUUGGGCGUAAAGCGCGCGCAGGCGGUUCCUUAAGUCUGAUGUGAAAGCCCACGGCUCAACCGUGGAGGGUCAUUGGAAACUGGGGAACUUGAGUGCAGAAGAGGAAAGUGGAAUUCCACGUGUAGCGGUGAAAUUUUAGAGAUGUGGAGGAACACCAGUGGCGAAGGCGACUUUCUGGUCUGUAACUGACGCCGAGGCCCGAAAAGGCCC